GUCAGCGUCGAUCGCCUGCUUUACACGCUCGACCAUGUCCGCGAUCUUCACGAUUGCUCCGAUGUCCCUCUUCCGCUUAUCGCCCACAAAUUCCGACGAGUGACGACGCCCUGUGAGACGUUCGAUUUACGGUGCACCCGCGGCAGUCUCUUCUCUUUUCGGAAGCGACAAGAGGUUCCAAGAGUGGACGGGAUAUCGGAUACAUAUACAAGAAAUAAUAUCUCUGUCACGAUUCUGACGAAUCUAUGAUGGUAGAGAGUGAAUGGUACCGUGUUUAUAUCGAUAUCUCUUCUGCUUGGAGAGUUAUCGAUUCAUCACUCAUUUCUCCUUUUAUCGGAAAUCCGCUAUCAUUUGAUGAUCCGAUGAGAUUGAUACGAUUCAAUAAUAUAUCGUUAUACCUGGCAAUGAUGAAAAUCCGUUAAUGUGAUUAUCAGUUGCCGUGAAUAUUGAUGAUGUAUCGGACACAUUACUGCAAAGUACAUCGUUGAUAUAAAGUUCGAAUAAAUAAUUCUCAUUACCCUUACGUCACUUUCGAGAAAGCCGAAGAUAAAUAUCGAAAUUAUAAGAUUUGGCCGACUUUUGCGACUUGCGAUGAUAUACAGUUCGUCUGAAUUAUGGAUAACAGCUGUAGCCCCCUUCCCUUCUUUCCCACGUAAAAUCCGUAUUACGAGCCAAAUCUUCUCCGAGAGAUGCAAAUUACCGAAAAAUCUUGGGAUGGAUUUAUGACAUUCAUCUGCAUGGUCGCCCGAUAAACAAAUGCAGAUGAAGCGUAAGAUUCGUCCAAAUCUUAUUAUGCAUUUUGCCAAAUAACGCAAUUUAAUAAAAUUUAUUACACGCCAUCAGAACCGUAAUAUAUGUAUAUAUGUAAUUUGCAUUCGUAUAGACAUAAAUUAUCUCUUGGCAAGACGAUAUAUGUAUUUUUUGUCUAAUAGUUUUUAACAGAUUUAUUUAUGCAUCUUAUAUAUUAAUUUUUUGACAUUUAAAAAAUAAACAUAUACAAGAAUUAAACGUGAACAUAAAUUCAAGUAGAAAAAAAAUAUUUAGAAUGACUAGUUUUUCAGUCAGCAUUAUCUCAUUAUUUUAUAGCACAUCUCAAUUCAUUAAUAUCUGCAUUAAAUUGCUCCUAAAUCAAUGAUACUUAUAGCUAGAUCUCAUCUUUUAAUCGACACAGACUGGUCACACUACCAACGAGAUUUACGAGACGUUCGACCACAGAGAUGAGUGUCUCUUAAUGUCAUUAGCGGUUAAAACCUUUUUUCCAGCAUCUCUUUCUCAGCUCUUGAACGCUUUGAUCGACACGGCCUUCUUUCCACCAACAAGGAAUCACGACGAGUGAUUCGAGACACGCUUGUCUCGCACUUGGAAUGCAGGUUCCUGGCUUGUUCGUCUAUCGGAUAACAGUUAGAAAAACUCUACAGCCGGUUUCCUAGUGGCGUGGAAUGCAUCUUCAACAAAGCGAUCGAUGCCCGGAUACAAAUAUUUAAUAUGCACCGUUUGCAAUUUUUCCGAAAACAUACAAGCAAUUAGAUUAGAAUUUCCAAUAAUUAAAAAGUGAUGCGCAUCAACAUCAUUAAAUAACAUCCAUAAUCACCUAACCGAUCCAUCUAUCUAUUCUCGUAAUAUUCGCAUAAUAUAUUUUACGGAAGAAGAUUCGUUAAAAAGCCCCAUGAGCGAAUUAUAUCCUAAGCAGGAUAUUUCCUUAGCAUCCAUCCCAUCAGCGAAGUCAGAUAUUCCGAUAGAUAAAAGACUUGGCAUCGAAUCUCGAGUAUGGCGGACAAUCGCUCGAUUGCCGGCCGUCGAAACGGAGAUUUCGAGAUAUUCCAUAAAUGUAAGAUGUUCGAUGACUCGGGAAUCGGCUCGGCGAAUCGUUGGGUGGACGCGGAGAGCCAGAAGGAGAGAAGAAGAUACGUCGGGCACGUAGCGCAGGAGCCAUCAAUCCUCUCGAGACGUAGACGAACAGCCGUGGGCCACGGCAAAGCGAACCGACAUCAGUCCCCAUUCUCCUCCUCCUCGUCGUCGUCGUCGUCGUCUUCUGCAAUGCGAAAAGACGAAGAGCGCUCGGAAGCCGAGAACGCGUAGACGCGCCGAUAGAAGCCACUACUUAGCAAGCAGGCAUGUGUCAUGUGUCUUAAACCAGGUCUGGUCUCUCUCCCCCACAUCUACUCCGGACCUUUCGGAGUUCCCUCGAACUCCCCGCGACGAUAUCAAAGGACCGCGCCUCCUUUGGAAUUCUCUAGUUGUUAACAUUUAACAGUGAUGCAUCCCAUGCAAUUUUUGUCGCGCAUACCCGUCGAGUUUUUUUCCGUCGCGGCGGACUCUCCUUCCCGAUUCUCGCAAUUUCUAUAAUGAAACGAUUUGAAUUAAAAAGAACCCGUGUGGAAAAUUAAAGUCAUCAAUGUCCUGUGACUAUCUAGUUAUUUAUAAUUUUAACUCAUCACUGUCUAACUUUAUUGGCUAAUAGUCUGGUAAAAAUGUAACGCUAUUAUAUGUGAGAUGUUAAUAUUAGUAGCUUACAGAUAGAUAACUAAAAUAAGCUCAUGGCUGGCUAGUAAAAAUGAUAAAAAAAAUUUUUUUAAUUUUAUUUUUUUUAAUUUUAGGUGUACUGUAGCAUUUUUAUUUUAUUGGCAUCUCCGAUUAUUACUGGUAAAUUAUCUCUAUAGGUAUUAGUUAUUAAAUAUUUUUUAUUUUUAUCUACCUUUUUCUCUGAAAAAAUCCUUGAUACCGAGGAGAUUCGAUCCUGAGACCUUUGCAUUACCAUGGACGUUCCUCACUAAGCCAAGCUCGAAUUGAUAUAUUCGAUAAAAAAAAAAAA